rnacentral:rRNA from 1 species
UGGGGAAUUUUGCGCAAUGGGGGGAACCCUGACGCAGCAACGCCGCGUGCGGGACGACGGCCUUCGGGUUGUAAACCGCUUUCAGCAGGGAAGAUUCAGACGGUACCUGCAGAAGAAGCUCCGGCUAACUACGUGCCAGCAGCCGCGGUAAUACGUAGGGGGCGAGCGUUAUCCGGAUUCAUUGGGCGUAAAGCGCGCGUAGGCGGCCGCCUAAGCGGAACCUCUAAUCCCGGGGCUCAACCUCGGGCCGGGUUCCGGACUGGGCGGCUCGAGUGCGGUAGAGGCAGGCGGAAUUCCCGGUGUAGCGGUGGAAUGCGCAGAUAUCGGGAAGAACACCGAUGGCGAAGGCAGCCUGCUGGGCCGCCACUGACGCUGAGGCGCGAAAGCUGGGGGAGCGAACAGGA